rnacentral:rRNA from 1 species
UGGGGGAUAUUGCACAAUGGGCGAAAGCCUGAUGCAGCGACGCCGCGUGGGGGAUGAAGGCCUUCGGGUUGUAAACUUCUUUUGCUCUGAACAAGGCAUGCUAAUGGGUGUGUUGAGUGUAGGGGUUGAUUAGCGCCGGCUAACUACGUGCCAGCAGCCGCGGUAAUACGUAGGGCGCGAGCGUUGUCCGGAAUUAUUGGGCGUAAAGGGCUUGUAGGUGGCUGGUUGCGUCUGUCGUGAAAGCUCAUGGCUUAACUGUGGGUUUGCGGUGGGUACGGGCUGGCUUGAGUGCAGGAGGGGAGGCUGGAAUUCCUGGUGUAGCGGUGGAAUGCGCAGAUAUCAGGAGGAAUACCGGUGGCGAAGGCGGGUCUCUGGGCUGUUACUGACACUGAGGAGCGAAAGCAUGGGGAGCGAACAGG